UGUACACAUUCGCAUGGAGUGGGGAGAGUAAGCUCGUUUGGACCUUAGGCCCAAACCGAGUCCAAGGCCAAUCCAUCAUUAAGAAAAACAAGCAGAGGUUACUGUACAGAAAAGCGCUUAAAUGGAUAAGCUGGAAAACAAGGGUGGACGAAAACGCUUAUGGAGACACAGAGUUCGGUCAUAAUCUUCAAACCAAUUUUCGCUUGUUCUGGCGUUCAUGGAUACGCUUCCAGCUCCUGUCUGUUUUGGUUGGUCGGCGUCAUCGCAUCAGCAUCGGAGUGACAUCACGGACAUCAUCGCGUUUUGGAUCAUUCAACACUGAGUUUUUGAUUGGUUUGCAUCACGUCUGGUUCGCGUUACAGCGUUGCUUGCACAUCUCCGAUCUCGCGCUUCAAUUGUAACCAGCGAGUUGCGAUUACCACCGGUGCGGCGUCGCGGAUGUCGUUGCGUUAUUGCGCUUCAGCAUCGAUCUUCGAUUCAGAUGCGUACAAACAAGAACAAAAAUUGAAUCGAAAGUAGCAUCGCGAGUGUGAUUGGAAUUUCAAUUUGAUUCAAAGUUAAAGAUCUUGAUUCAGAGUUUUCGAUUCUAAACAGCACGCAACUAUAGGAAGAAAAGGUUUAAAGACUUACCGGUGAAAGGGGGAAAUUCCUUCGGUCAAUAACAGAUUGUCGUCGCUGGCGAAAACGAGAGAAAUCCAGAACGGUGUCGAUUUUCAGCUCUAAGCCUGGUGCGUGAGUGUGCCUGAACGUGUGAAGAACGAUGAACUCCGGCUUGUGUAUGGAUGAACUUUGUGGAUGGCUCCCCUGGUAUGCCCCUGCUUCGAUCCCUCAAUCUUUCUCUGUAUCGUGCUUCCACGUUCUUAAUUAUACAUGGCUGAAUUUUGUGUGAUGCAUUGUGUUGAUGAACGAGUCGACACAGAACUUGCAGGGUGAAUCGAUGUGAGGUAAGGGAUACUCCAGUUGAAGAUUGUGAACCCCUGAUUGCUGCUUGAAGGUUGCAAGCUCAUGGAUCUUAGGUGGAAGAAUGGCGAAUUCAAAGUGGAAGCGUGGUGAUUGAAGAAAAUUGGAGAAAGUGAGGAAGAAAUGAAGAUGUGGAUUAGAAGUGAAUGAUUAGAAAAAUGCUCAGAGAAAGGCUAUGAACUUCUUUUAUAAGAGAAGUGUAACCGAAUCGGGCACUUAAAAGGGGGCAGGAUAUAGUGAUGUUGUCAGCAUUGCCUUUGAAGUAUCCAUGCCAGAUUUUACAAAUUACUCAUGCAUAGGUGGUUAGUUUAUUAUAGGAUUCAUGUCGAGUAUCCAUCUUCUUUAUCGAUUACUUGGCCAGGUUAUCAAUCGCCGAACCUCUUCUUGAUGUUGCUGUGUCCGCCGUGUUGCCAUUAUCGUGCAUUGUUAUGUUGGCCAAAUGAUGGUUAGUGGGAUGCGAUAAUGCUUGCGUGGAUAUCAUACUAUAUGUCGCUGUAUUGUAUAUGAUGCAAUUGGUAAUGCUUAGAUUAUGCGGUUCAGUUGUCGACUAACACAAUGCUAUGACGUAAUGAAGGAUGCUUAUGAUAUGCGUGAUGUGAGAUGCUUAAGCUGCUGUAGAAUGGACACGUUACUGCAAGUGAAGUCAUUUGGCUCAUAAAGAAACAAAUGGAUUUGGUUAAUCACAUGGAUGGUUAGGAUUAGGAUAUCUAGGGAUGUAAAGUCCAUUUCUUGUGUUUUCUCGUGGGAUCGUUAUUUGGAUGAACUUAAAUAGCUUUCAAUUCGAUUUUGUAUUGGAUUUUGAAUUUGAUUUUCUAUUGGAAUGAAACAAAUGACAAUGGCUUGCAAUGGAUUGGAAUUUUGGGAAUUAAAUGUGUGGAAGCUGAAUGAUUUUAUGGUUUAA